UACCCUCUAAGUCAUCUUUCCAUUUUCAGGAAAGGUAGUAUGAAUUCUCAACUGAGUGCUUUUCCUCAGUUGAUUUCCUGACAGUAGAACUUAUGGCUCCAACAACUUCAUAGCAUUUUAUAUAAUCUCUGCCCCCUUCUGACCAGAAAUGUUUCUGCAUGCGUUAUUCUGUCUUUCAAACUCUGUGUCUUCUGUGAAUCUUUGUGAGGUUCACUUCAUUAGACACAGCCAGACCCUCACAAAUCUCUUUAAAAUAAACCCUUCCCUAUCUUGAGUUCUGAUGAAACUGUUAGAGACAGUGCUUGUAGACCUCUUAGGAGCCCUACUGUUUGACCGAAUGGAUCUGGGAGACACACACUUAAACACCUUGAAGGCCUUCACUCUGACUAAAAGAGAUUCCAAGUGGCCGCAUGUGAUCUUCAUGAGUUCUUAAAGGAUUUUACAGUCACAUCUUUGUCUUCAUUGUUAGACCAUAGUUUCCCGAAAGUGCCUUCGUUUCCUCUUUAAUGCAAUUUGAUCUUAAUUGUAGCACUAUUUUCCAGAAAAAGAGACUGACAUUAUUCAGAGCCCUCAAGUCCUUGUGGCUUUUUGUUAACCGUUUUUCUUCAGUUUGCCUCUCUCCUUUCACAUUUUCUAUAAGAAGGAAUAAACCAGGAGUCACCUUCAAAAAUUUUUUUGAAAUCUCUUAAGUUGAUGAACCAGUUCAUUAGGCCCAUUUUCUACUGCAGACAACAGUGUUGCUAAGCCUAAUGCCACCAUAUAAGAAAGUUUCCCUUUUCUUUAGUUUCCAACAAUAUUUACCUCACUUUCUUACAAACCCCUGCUUAUAGCCUUACCAAACAUCAUAUGGCUUCAACUAAAAGCUUUUUUAAGAUAUUAAAGAAAUUAAAUUUGUAGUUAGAAAACUUUCAAAAAGAAAUCUCUAAUUCCAGAUGGUUUUAAUGGUUAAUUCUACUGAACAUUUGUUUUAAAAGUAACACCAAUUCUACAUAAUCUUUUCCAGAAAACAGAAGAACACACUUUGCAACUAAUUUUAGGAGGCUGGCAUUACCCUCUACCAAAACCAAAGUCAGUAUAAAAGGGAAAACAUAGACCAAUAUAUCUCAUGAAUAUAGAUGUAAAAUCAACAAAAUAUUAGCAAAUUGAAUCCAGCAAUAUAUAAAAAGAAUAAUGUAAUAUGACCAGUGAGGUUUAAUUUAAGAAAUGCAAGGCUAGUUCAAUAUUCCAAAAUCAAUGUAAUCCACCAUAACAAGCUAAGAAAGAAAACCACAUGACUCUACCAAUUCAUGCAGAAAAGGCAUUUUACAAAAUUCAACAUCCAUUCAUGGUGAAAACUCAGUAAACUGGAAUAGGAGGAGGAGGUAAAUUCUCCAAUUGGAUAAUUUAUUUUUAAAAAACUGCAGCUAAGAGUGCAGACUUAAUUUUAUCUAACAUUUGAGAUCAAUGCAUGGAUGUCCACUUUCACCACUCUGAUUCAGAGUAGUAUUGGAAAUCCUAACUAGUGCAAUAAAGCAAGAAAAAGAAAUAAAAUUCAUACAAAUUGGGAAAAAGAUAAAACUGUCCCUAUUUGCCAAUGACAUGAUACUCUAUGUAGAAAAUCCUUACAACAAAUAUUUAAAAAUUCCUGGAGUAAGAAGCAAGAUCAUGGAAUGUCAGGUCAACAGCAAAAAUAAACCAUAUUUCUGUUUACUAGUAGUGAAAAAAAUGGAAACUAAAGUUAAAAUUCAAUAACAUUUACUUAGCUCCAAAACAAUGAAAUAGUUAAGUGUAAGUCUAAUAAAACAUGUAUAGGGUGUGUACCCAGAUGACCACAAAAUAUUAAUAAAAACGAAAGACCUAAAUAAAUGGCAAGAUACAGUGGCUUCACGGGUUGGAAGAAAAAAUACAUUAAAGAUGACAAUUUAGCCUAAAUUAUCUUCUAAUAGCAAUUCCUACCAACAUCCCAACAAGAUUAAUUUGUAGAUAUAGACAAACUGAUUUUUAAAUAUGUAUGGAAACAAAAAGAAACAAAACUAGUGAAAAGCUGGCAAAAGAGAACAAAGUCUGAGGGCACAACACUGUCUAAUAUGCCACAGCUGGAGUCCAAGAGACUGUGAUAUUCCACAGUUUGAUGGCUCUGAAUAAAGAAUACAGAAACAUUUUCACAUAAGCAGUCAACUAAUUUUUUUUAUAUUUUAUUUUUAGGGCUGCACCUGCAGCAUAUGGAGGUUUCCAGGCUAGAGGUCAAAUCAGAGCUGUAGUUGCUGGCCAACACCACAGCCACGGCAACGUGGGAUCCGAGCCACGUCUGCAACCUACACUACAGCUCACAGCAAUGGCAAAUCCUUAACCCACUGAGCAAGGCCAGGGGUUGAAUUGCAUCCUCACGGAUGCUAGUCAGAUUCACUUCCACUGAGCCAAGACAGAAACUCCUAAGCAGUCAACUAGUUUUUUUAAAAGGUACAAAAGCAACUCAAUAAAGAAAUGGUAGUCUUUUCAACAACUGAGUUUUGAACAACUGGACACUAAGGACAAAAUAAUAAUUAAACAAUAAAAUCUUAACUUGAAUUUCAUAUCUUAUACAAAAAUUAACUCCAAAUGGAUCAUAGAUCUAAAUAUAAAACGUAAAACUAAUAAAAACAAAACUUCUAGAGGGAAACGUGGAACAAAAGCUUUAGUCUUCAUGACUUAGGGUUAAACCAAGAGUUCUUAUGCAUGAUACCAAAAGCAGAAUCUGUAAAAUAAUAGUAAUAAUAAUUUUAAAAUAAAAAUAAAUAAAUCUGUUUAAAAAUGAUAGACUGGAGUUUAUCAAAAUGAAAAACUUUUUCUCUGAAAAAAGACCCUGAUAAGAGAUGGCCCACACACUGGAAGAAGAUAUUUAAAAAUCAUAUAUCUGACAAAGGAUUUAUAUAUAGAAUAUUUUUAAAGGUAUUUCAAACACUAAGAAAACAAAUAAUCCAAUUAUAGAAUGAACAAAAGACUUGAAAAACAAGUAUAUACAGAACCAAAAAGCACAUGAAAGGGUAUUAAACAUUAAUUAGUAGACAAAUGAAUAUUAAAACCAUGAUUAAAUACCACUACAUGCUUAUUAGAAUGUCUAAAAUACGAAAUAGUGACAAUUCCAAGCACUGACAAGAUGUACAAUCAACUGAAACUCUUAUACAUUAAAUGAACUAUAGGAUAGAUUUCAAAAGUAUUAUGCAGAAUGAGAAGUCAAUCUCAAAAAUUUGCAUGCUGUAUGAUUCUUAUUAUUCUUGAAAUGCCUACAUUAUAGUGAUGGAGAACAUAUUAGUGGCUGCCAGGUAUUAUGUUUGAAAGAGUGUGUAUCCAUAGAUAAGUGGCAAAAGGGAGUUUUGUUUUGAUAAUGGAACAGCUUUGUAUCUUAAUCAUGGUUGUGGUAACACACAUCUAUACACAAUAGUAUCUGAUAGAACUACACAAACACACACACACCCCUUGUGAAAUUCAACAAAUAUUUGUAGUUUAUUUAAUGGUAUUGCACCAAUGUCAAUUUCCUGGUUUUGAUCAUAUACUAUGGUUAUUAUCAUUGAUGAAAAUUGAAAGAAGUAUGCAUAAAAAUAUGUGUACUAUAUUUUCAAAUUUUCUGAGUACAAAAUUAUUUCAAAAUAAAGUAAAAACUAAAUAAAACCUCAAGUAAAGCUUCUUCAGAAUAUCUUAGGUUUUUACUGAUACUCUUGUCAAUGUCCACUGCCCAGAACCAGGGCAGUUUUCACAAUUCAAGCUAUUGGUACAGCAAUAUGUACUUUAAAGUACCAAAGUAUGUAUUAGUCACCUAUCUCUACAUAGAAAUACCCCAAAACUUAGCAUUUAAAAAAAGGUAUCAUCUCACACUGUCGCUUAGUGUUAAGAAUCGAAGGAAGGCUUAUCUGGGUAGUUCUGGCUCAGAAUUUCUCAUAAAACUCCAACUAAACUAUUGGCUAGAACUGCAGGUUAUAGUCACUGAUGAUCUGACUGAGCCUGAAAGUUCUGGAUUCCUUUGGAGGAGUUAUCCAAGAGAGAAUAAGAGAAUGCACCCAAGAAAGAAGCCACAAUGUUGUGGUAGCCUAACCACAGAAAUGAUAUCCCAUCACUUCUGCUAUAAUCUAUUUGUCCAACAUGGGUCACUAAGUCCAACUCAUACUCUAAAGGAAUAGAACUAAAUUCCACCAUUUGAUGGGAGGAAUAUCAAGGAAUUUGUGGAUAUAUCAUUACAACUACCACAAAGAAAGGAGAUUCUGUAUGUUUGCUGAGUGAACUCUAAAGUAAUUGUUUGUGUUCUGAUUUGUGCACAUGUGUAAUGAAACUAACCAUAGUCUGGGUGGUGGGAGGGGGGGAAGCAGAAAGCAUUAGGCCAAACAAUACCUCAAGUUCUGUGUAUUCCCACCAGCUAGAAGUGGAAGAACUUCAUAAUGACAGGGGCAUUUGACGGUGCUCUUAGAAAGUUAUCUGCUUACUAAUGGGACUAAGUCACUGCUGUAAUUAAAAUUGAAUUGAAUCUAGUCCAACGAGUCUUAAAAGUAAGCCUCAAAAUGAUCCCUAUGAUUUCAAGUAAUUGUCUACUAGGAUAAAGUCCACUGGAUUUAAAGAAAUAAUAAUAAGCAGCAAUGAUGCAAAAUUCUCAUUCUUUUGCAGCCAAUAAAAAUUCCAGAUAUGAAAAAAAGCAGAAAAAUGUUUCCCACAACAAAAAAGAAAAUAAAUUAGUAAAAAUAGAUCCAGACAUGAUACCGGAGUAAUAGAAAGAGCCAAAACAAUCAUUAAAACAGCUAUUGUAG
rnacentral:lncRNA from 1 species